GUGUUUGUGAAAUUAUCUAAACGAGGUAAUGUCACACUAUUAUGAUGGGAGUCCCGUCAAAUGACCUCAUUAUCUAUUGGGCCAUAUGAAAAGGUUUUCUUAUUUCAUACGAUACAGUAUCGAUCGUUUCCUUAUAUACAAGAGAAGACAUUAGUCUUACGACUUAACCUAAUUCCAACAUAUGGACUAAGUUAAUCGAGGCCCAUAUGGCCCAAUAUUAUCUUCAGUGGGCCCACCCUGCUUUUAGAAGAAAGAAACGAAAAUGCUCGUCGUUUCACCCUCUAUCAAUCACGCCGGAAAGCAGUUCGCCGGUGAGUAGAGUACCGGAGUUAAAAAGUUACUAUCUUUGUAGAUAAACACUAAUUUGUUUUCAAAAUUCGAAAAUGUUUUGAAGUUCCGAAAUAAAAACAAAAAAAUUCCAGUCGUAAGAAAAGUUGUGACUGGUUAGUAGUACUCUUGGGCAAUGCCAGAUUGCCAGCUAAGGGAGGGAGCAACGGCUCGAACAUAUACCACAAUCUCUCUAAAAAGCACAUUUGCAGUCAUCUUUCACUCAUUUGCAUUCGUCCAAAACACCGCAAAAAAAAAAUAUUCACUCAUCGGCAACAAAGAGAGAAAAGAUGCCUCCUCGGUCUGUCCCACAAGCCAAGAUGCAAAGGAUCCAGAACGUCUACCUUGCACUACAUGUUCUCUUAAUCAACGCCAUUGUCAUUUCGUUGGUGUUCACGGCAAUAGCUGCCGGUAGGGAUGACAACGAAACAAUUUCCGAGUCCAACUCCAACAACUCAACAACCGCUGCUCCUCCUCCUCACAGAAACAUGCCCGACCGGAUAUCGGUUUGUUCCUCUUCGGGAUACUUUUCGUAGUAUAUCUCAUGGUGAAAUCCUACCAACUUUCUCUUGAUGACAUCUGGUUUCCUUUCAAGAAGUUCUUAGAUGAAAUUUCAUUGUGGCUUGGAGUUGUGUCCCUUGUUGUUCUCCUGCUCCUUACCACUACAGUGUUUACAAUCUACAUUGCAGUCCCUUCAGUCAUAUUGGCGAUAGUGGGAAGGUUCAUUUUUGGGAGACCCUGCUUUCUAGAAUUCGGCUACAUCACCUUCCUACAGAUAUCAAAAUGGAUUUGUUAUCUCUGGCUUCUAAUCGUUUUGGGAUGUGCAAAGCUUAGAAGGAAUUUGUUUACAGGGACUUCAGAGGAAUCCAGAAUGUUACUAACAGAUAGGGUUACUAAAUCGGGGAAUGCAAAGGAUUCUUCCCUCGUGAAGUGGAACAAGAGGAUUGCCGCUGCGAGAGCUCGCGCAACCGCUGAAUCUGACAGAGUGGCCAAAGAGAAAGCCGAUAUUGAAGCCGAUGAGGACGCUGCCGAGACAGCCGAAGUCGAGCUCGGCUUGAUGGUGGCUCCGGUCAAUGCCCAAUAAGGCCCACUUUAGUUUUCCCUCGUUCUCUUUUUUAUGUCGCUUG
rnacentral:sRNA from 1 species